GCUCAGUUGGUAAAGCACAAGGCUCCUAACCUUGCGGACGUGGAUUCAAGUCCCAU
rnacentral:tRNA from 1 species